AAAGCGGACCUUAGUUUACAGACUAACUUUACUAGAAUACAUUAAGCUUGUGUAUUUGAAAAGGUUUUUAUGGUUGGUUUCCAACACAGACAGUACUGCACCAGUCCUUGAAAUAAAAAGAUUCGCUGACCUGGUUUGUUACUCCACAAUUGUUGAUGAGAAUGUAUUGUAGAUGAAUGCGGCGCCCAGAAGACGCUCCCUUUUGCGAAACAUGUCGGCGACUAGCAUCUAACUCAUCUAACUUUCAUGUGCAUCUCGUCUGUAACAGGGCAACCAAUGAUUUUAUCAUUGCAUUCUAAAUGUUUUCUUUUAUGUAUUUAAAUACAUUUUGAUAUUUUUCUAUA